rnacentral:lncRNA from 1 species
GAACCAUUGUAGGCACGGGGAGGUGGGGAAUGAGAGGAGAGAACGGCUCCUGCUCUCAUGGGGUUUAUCAUCCCGUGAGGGGGAGGAGCGCCGCAGCCACGAGAACCUACGAGCAAGUGACUAGACAUGCUGUGGUUGUCAGUAUGAUGUGACUAUCUCAACUGAUUCCUCCAUUGAGGUACAUUUUCUUUUUCCCCUCCAAUCUACGACCUGUAUGGACGGCAGUAUGAAAUAAGCAUCCUUUCC